rnacentral:lncRNA from 10 species
GCGGAUUCCAGCUGCUUUCCAAGUUGGAGGCGCCUAGUGAGGGUCAGGGAGGCCCGGCCCGCGCCCUCCCCGCCCAGCCGCCUCCCCGUCGACCACCCAGGGCUGGGGCGAGCCAGGCUGCCUUUCGAACUUGGGGGCUUCUCCUCUUGUCUCCCACUGGUGCUCUGGCCGUGAAUCCAUCCAGGCGCCAGGAGAUGACAAUCCGGUACCAAGGCCGGCAGUACAGGCUGAGGAUGGCAUUUCUCCAAAAGGUUUCCAAGCUGCGUCCUGGGCCUGGAGACUGAGACAGAGAUCCACGGACUGCAGUGCAGGCAGCCCACCCCAGAUCCGAGUCAUAUAAGGCACCAGCCGCUUUCAGGAAUCAAUCUUCCCACC